GCUAGUAGCGAAGGAGCGCAGCCCAGGGGGCGCAGCCCGGAACCUGGAGCCCACCCGCCAGAUGAAAGGAGCUUCCUGGGAUGAAAAGGUGGCAGAGGAUGAAAUCUACUCAGGAAUGAGACAUGGCCACUGAGUUACAGAGAGCUAAAUACCUUGCCCAAGGUCACACAGCUAUAAGAGGGCAGAGCUGGAUUUCAGCACCAGAUCUCUGUGUCUCCAAAGCUCGUGCUUAACCGCAGAUCUGCACUGGCCUCCAGAAUGUCCUGGAUGGAGCCCCUGAGACCAUGCCCUCCAAAUUCAGCGAUGCUGGUCAAAAC